AUUGAACGCUGGCGGCAUGCCUUACACAUGCAAGUCGAACGGCAGCACGGGAGCAAUCCUGGUGGCGAGUGGCGAACGGGUGAGUAAUAUAUCGGAACGUGCCCAGUCGUGGGGAUAACGUAGCGAAGCUACGCUAAUACCGCAUACGAUCUAUGGAUGAAAGCGGGGGAUCGCAAGACCUCGCGCGAUUGGAGCGGCCGAUAUCAGAUUAGGUAGUUGGUGAGGUAAGGCUCACCAAGCCGACGAUCUGUAGCUGGUCUGAGAGGACGACCAGCCACACUGGGACUGAGACACGGCCCAGACUCCUACGGGAGGCAGCAGUGGGGAAUUUGGACAAUGGGCGCAAGCCUGAUCCAGCAAUGCCGCGUG
rnacentral:rRNA from 1 species